rnacentral:rRNA from 1 species
CUCAGGAUGAACGCUAGCUACAGGCUUAACACAUGCAAGUCGAGGGGAAACGACAUCGAAAGCUUGCUUUUGAUGGGCGUCGACCGGCGCACGGGUGAGUAACGCGUAUCCAACCUGCCCACCACUUGGGGAUAACCUUGCGAAAGUAAGACUAAUACCCAAUGAUAUCUCUAGAAGACAUCUGAAAGAGAUUAAAGAUUUAUCGGUGAUGGAUGGGGAUGCGUCUGAUUAGCUUGUUGGCGGGGUAACGGCCCACCAAGGCAACGAUCAGUAGGGGUUCUGAGAGGAAGGUCCCCCACAUUGGAACUGAGACACGGUCCAAACUCCUACGGGAGGCAGUAGUGAGGAAUAUUGGUCAAUGGACGAGAGUCUGAACCAGCCAAGUAGCGUGCAGGAUGACGGCCCUAUGGGUUGUAAACUGCUUUUAUAAGGGAAUAAAGUGAGUCUCGUGAGACUUUUUGCAUGUACCUUAUGAAUAAGGACCGGCUAAUUCCGUGCCAGCAGCCGCGGUAAUACGGAAGGUCCGGGCGUUAUCCGGAUUUAUUGGGUUUAAAGGGAGCGUAGGCCGGAGAUUAAGCGUGUUGUGAAAUGUAGACGCUCAACGUCUGCACUGCAGCGCGAACUGGUUUCCUUGAGUACGCACAAAGUGGGCGGAAUUCGUGGUGUAGCGGUGAAAUGCUUAGAUAUCACGAAGAACUCCGAUUGCGAAGGCAGCUCACUGGAGCGCAACUGACGCUGAAGCUCGAAAGUGCGGGUAUCGAACAGGAUUAGAUACCCUGGUAGUCCGCACGGUAAACGAUGGAUGCCCGCUGUUGGUCUGAAUAGGUCAGCGGCCAAGCGAAAGCAUUAAGCAUCCCACCUGGGGAGUACGCCGGCAACGGUGAAACUCAAAGGAAUUGACGG